GAUUGUUGAGGUCGGAAAUGGUUCCCGACACUCCUCGAAAGAGGAACCUGAGAUGCAGGAUACACCGCCCUGCCUUCAAUC
rnacentral:ncRNA from 12 species